rnacentral:rRNA from 1 species
AACGAACGCUGGCGGCAUGCCUAACACAUGCAAGUCGAACGAGACCACCGUGUGUGCUUGCUCACGGGUGCGUAACGCGGGGGAACCGGCCCGUAUGUACGGAAUAAUUCUUUGAAGGGGGGGCUAAUACAGGAUAAUUUAUUCGGACAAAGGAUAUAUCGCCCUUGGAUGGGCACGUGUUGGUUUAGCUUGUUGGUAGUGAAAGAGCCGACCAAGGCGACGAUCCAUAGCUGGUCUGAGGGGAUGCUCAGCCACACUGGGACUGAGGCACGGCCCAGACUCCUACGGGAGGGAGCAGUGGGCAGUACUAGCCAAUGGGCGAAAGCCUGGUACAGCUUCGCCGCGUAAGUGAUGAUGGUCUUAGGAUUGUAACGCUCUUUUACCCGCGCUGAGAACGACCGUACCGGGAGAAUAAGCCCCGGCUAACUUCCUU